rnacentral:rRNA from 1 species
GACCCACGUUUCAACGGCCGCGGGUAUCCUGACCACGCGAAGGUAGCGUAAUCAAUUGUCUCUUAAAUGGGGACUUGUAUGAAUGGCAUCACGAGGAUUUAACUGUCUCCCCUCUCUAAUCUGUGAAACUAAUCCCCCUGUGAAAAAGCAGGGAUACCCCUAUAAGACGAGAAGACCCUGUGGAACUUUAAACAAGUAACAAUUGCCUCUCCCCUCCCCCCUCCCAGGAG